GAUGAACGCUGGCGGCGUGCCUAAUACAUGCAAGUCGAGCGAACAGACGAGGAGCUUGCUCCUCUGACGUUAGCGGCGGACGGGUGAGUAACACGUGGAUAACCUACCUAUAAGACUGGGAUAACUUCGGGAAACCGGAGCUAAUACCGGAUAAUAUAUUGAACCGCAUGGUUCAAUAGUGAAAGACGGUUUUGCUGUCACUUAUAGAUGGAUCCGCGCCGCAUUAGUUAGUUGGUAAGGUAACGGCUUACCAAGGCAACGAUGCGUAGCCGACCUGAGAGGGUGAUCGGCCACACUGGAACUGAGACACGGUCCAGACUCCUACGGGAGGCAGCAGUAGGGAAUCUUCCGCAAUGGGCGAAAGCCUGACGGAGCAACGCCGCGUGAGUGAUGAAGGUCUUCGGAUCGUAAAACUCUGUUAUUAGGGAAGAACAAAUGUGUAAGUAACUAUGCACGUCUUGACGGUACCUAAAGAAAAAGCCACGGCUAACUACGUG
rnacentral:rRNA from 1 species